rnacentral:rRNA from 1 species
UACAGGAGGGGCAAGCGUUGUUCGGAAUUACUGGGCGUAAAGGGCGCGUAGGCGGCCUGCUAAGUCGAACGUGAAAUCCCUGGGCUCAACCCAGGAACUGCGUCCGAUACUGGUUGGCUUGAAUCCGGGAGAGGGACGUGGAAUUCCAGGUGUAGCGGUGAAAUGCGUAGAUAUCUGGAGGAACACCGGUGGCGAAGGCGACGUCCUGGACCGGUAUUGACGCUGAGGCGGCGAAAGCCAGGGGAGCAAACGGG